GAUGAACGCUGGCGGCGUGCCUAAUACAUGCAAGUCGAGCGAACGGACGAGAAGCUUGCUUCUCUGAUGUUAGCGGCGGACGGGUGAGUAACACGUGGAUAACCUACCUAUAAGACUGGGAUAACUUCGGGAAACCGUAGCUAAUACCGGAUAAUAUUUUGAACCGCAUGGUUCAAAAGUGAAAGACGGUCUUGCUGUCACUUAUAGAUGGAUCCGCGCUGCAUUAGCUAGUUGGUAAGGUAACGGCUUACCAAGGCAACGAUGCAUAGCCGACCUGAGAGGGUGAUCGGCCACACUGGAACUGAGACACGGUCCAGACUCCUACGGGAGGCAGCAGUAGGGAAUCUUCCGCAAUGGGCGAAAGCCUGACGGAGCAACGCCGCGUGAGUGAUGAAGGUCUUCGGAUCGUAAAACUCUGUUAUUAGGGAAGAACAUAUGUGUAAGUAACUGUGCACAUCUUGACGGUACCUAAUCAGAAAGCCACGGCUAACUACGUGCCAGCAGCCGCGGUAAUACGUAGGUGGCAAGCGUUAUCCGGAAUUAUUGGGCGUAAAGCGCGCGUAGGCGGUUUUUUAAGUCUGAUGUGAAAGCCCACGGCUCAACCGUGGAGGGUCAUUGGAAACUGGAAAACUUGAGUGCAGAAGAGGAAAGUGGAAUUCCAUGUGUAGCGGUGAAAUGCGCAGAGAUAUGGAGGAACACCAGUGGCGAAGGCGACUUUCUGGUCUGUAACUGACGCUGAUGUGCGAAAGCGUGGGGAUCAAACAGGAUUAGAUACCCUGGUAGUCCACGCCGUAAACGAUGAGUGCUAAGUGUUAGGGGGUUUCCGCCCCUUAGUGCUGCAGCUAACGCAUUAAGCACUCCGCCUGGGGAGUACGACCGCAAGGUUGAAACUCAAAGGAAUUGACGGGGACCCGCACAAGCGGUGGAGCAUGUGGUUUAAUUCGAAGCAACGCGAAGGACCUUACCAAAUCUUGACAUCCUUUGACAACUCUAGAGAUAGAGCCUUCCCCUUCGGGGGACAAAGUGACAGGUGGUGCAUGGUUGUCGUCAGCUCGUGUCGUGAGAUGUUGGGUUAAGUCCCGCAACGAGCGCAACCCUUAAGCUUAGUUGCCAUCAUUAAGUUGGGCACUCUAAGUUGACUGCCGGUGACAAACCGGAGGAAGGUGGGGAUGACGUCAAAUCAUCAUGCCCCUUAUGAUUUGGGCUACACACGUGCUACAAUGGACAAUACAAAGGGCAGCGAAACCGCGAGGUCAAGCAAAUCCCAUAAAGUUGUUCUCAGUUCGGAUUGUAGUCUGCAACUCGACUACAUGAAGCUGGAAUCGCUAGUAAUCGUAGAUCAGCAUGCUACGGUGAAUACGUUCCCGGGUCU
rnacentral:rRNA from 1 species